rnacentral:lncRNA from 1 species
UAUCCCCUCUUUGAUCACCAUCAUGUUGGUUGAUCCAAUGCAGGUAGCAUAUCUACACACAUCAUAUCUUUGUCAUUUGAUUUAUGCCAGUAAGUUCUCUAAUAUAUCCACUCUCUGAGGUAGUAUGAGAGAGACUUCAUAGCAAAAACAUGCUUACAUUAAUGAAUUAAUCUGCACAUAUAUCUGUUAUAUCGAAAAAAAAUCUGCGGUGAAAAUAAACAAUACCGGGC